rnacentral:rRNA from 1 species
CACGGGCGCAAUGAAAGUGAACGGANGUGGGAACCCCCUUGGGGGGCGCACCAUCGACCGAUCCUGAUGUCUUCGGAUGGAUUUGAGUACGAGCGUCGGUUGACUGACCCGAAAGAUGGUGAACUAUGCGUGAAUAGGGUGAAGCCAGAGGAAACUCUGGUGGAGGCUCGCAGCGGGUUCUGACGUGCAAAUCGAUCGUCAAAUUUGCGUAUAGGGGCGAAAGACUAAUCGAACCAUCUAGUAGCUGGUUUCCAGCCNAAGUUUCCCUCAGGAUAGCA